rnacentral:rRNA from 1 species
UACAGAGGGGGCAAGCGUUUAUUCGGAAUUAUUGGGCGUAAAGGGCGCGUAGGCGGCAUGGCAAGUGGAUGGUGAAAUCCCUCGGCUUAACCGAGGAACUGCCGUCCAAACUGCUUCGCUUGAGACCGGGAGAGGUGAGUGGAAUUCCCAGUGUAGCGGUGAAAUGCGUAGAUAUUGGGAGGAACACCAGUGGCGAAGGCGGCUCACUGGACCGGUACUGACGCUGAUGCGCGAAAGCGUGGGGAGCAAACGGG